AUAUAAUUUUCAUAGUCAGUUCCUUUUCAUAUUAUAUGACAGUUAAAUCUGUGAUCCUAACUUCAUGUUUACUUUUGUUAAGCACCCACAACUAUGUAUGUAGCUAGCUCUGAUUUGUUAGCACAAACUAUACUGUUUCUUGACAUCCUCUAAUAUGUUGUAUACCUAGCUGAUUGGCAAAGGUUAUAAUAUUCUCUUAAACAAUAGAUGUAUUAGUUGAGUGGUGAAGCCUUAAAUGAUGAAGCUUUUCAGUGUUUCAGUACAUUUAUUCUUGUUGACAGAAUGCACUUAUAAAAAAAAAAAAUUCUUUCUUUAUGGAGUGCUUGUGGAGAGCGAGUAAAGGUUAAUGAUAUCCUCCUUAACUUGAUGGCUAUGUUUGGUACUCAGAUUAGAAUCUGGAAUGGAAUAGCUACUCCUUCCUACUGAGAGUAGCACACAAAUGAAUUAUUAGGAAAUAAAAAACUAUUUAAAACAAAAAUUUCUUUAAAAAAAAACUAAUGUAAAAAAUCAAAAUGUUUCAGAAAAAAAAAAAAAGGUGGGGACCUUUCCUCCAUCCCGUAGCAGCCGCCACGAAAAAAAAAAAAAAAAAAGCAAUGCACCAGCAUGCAAACCUGAGAGGGUGGAUAGCCCUCGGCCAAGGUGGCUUUUGUUAUGAGGUGGAGGCUCUCCCAGCUUGCGCACCUCGUAGGGGAGGUCCCCUCCUUCCCACCCCUCUUGUUUUUUUUUUUCUAUUUGUUGACUUUUAUUUUUGUUUAUUAUUUUUUUUUAUAAGUAAUAGUUUUAUUCAAAGAAAUAGGCAUAAGCUCAAGUACACAGGAUGUAUACAAAGGAAAUGCCUACAACUUCCACAAACUAAAAGAAAACUAACACCAUAAAUCUAAAACAGAUGCAGAAAAUUAUCCACCAUUACGAAAGCUUUAGCCCAAGAACUCAAAGUACUCAAGAAAAAAACCCUAAGAUCUCCCAAAGAACGUUCUCUAUCUUCGAAGCAUUUUCCAUUUCUUUUGAGCCAAAUGCACCACAUAAGACAAGGAUUAAUCAUUUUCCAAACACUCGCUGCCUUCUUAUAGCCCUUCACACCCUUCCACCCUACCAAUAAAUCCACCACUUCCCUGGGCAUUACCCAAUGUAAUCCGGUCCAACUCAAAACCUCGUUCCACAAGAAUCUUGUCACUUUGCAGUGUAGGAAAAGGUGAUUUACAGAUUCUCCAUCCCUUAUGCACAUAACACACCAAUCCACGAUAAACAUACCUCUCCUUCUAAGAUUAUCAGUAGUCAAUACUUUGCCCAAAGUAGCCACCCAGCAGAAAAAAGCAACCUUAGAAGGAACUUUCACUUUCCAAAUACUUUUCCAAGGGAAUACACAACUACUAUGGCUUGACAAAUUUUGUAAUAAGAUUAGUUUAUAAUGUAUAGUUUUAAUUCUUUCAACUUUUUAUUUAUUUCUUUUUUUUUUUAAUGUUUCUAGUUUUUUUUUUUAUUCUUUUUAAUUUUAAUCUUUUCUAUGAUCACAAGAUU